rnacentral:misc_RNA from 1 species
GAUGAAGAACGUAGCGAAAUGCGAUACUUGGUGUGAAUUGCAGAAUCCCGUGAACCAUCGAGUCUUUGAACGCAAGUUGCGCCCGAAGCCACUAGGCCGAGGGCACGCCUGCCUGGGCGUCACACGCCGUUGCCCCCCCAUCUACCCCUUCGGGAUUGCGGGGGGGCGGAUGAUGGCCUCCUGUGCGCCUAGCCGCGCGUUUGGCAUAAAUACCAAGUCCUCGGCGACGCACGCCACGACAAUCGGUGGUUGCGAAACCUCGGUUGCCCGUCGUGUGCGUUCGUCGCGCAUCGAGGGCUCGAAAAAAUGCUCGGCUCCGGCUGGGCUUUCAACGCGACCCCAGGUCAGGCGGGGUUACCCGCUGAAUUUAAGCAUAUCAAUAAGCGGAGGA